GCUGCAGAAUAUAGAACUUUCUCAAUUUGUAAAAAUAUUCGAAUAAUUCGACGUGAUACAAGAAAAAUCAAAUCCGAACCGAUCCGACAAAAAACCUGCAAAAUCCGAUCCGACAGAAACAAAACGAAAUCCGAUCCGAUCCGAGUAAUUUACUGUCCGAAUCCGAUCCGAAUCCGAUCGGAUUCGGAUCGGAUUCGCACACCUCUA